AUGACCAAGGACGGAGAUAUUUGUUUAAUUUUCUAAGGAGGACUGGACUGGAAGGACGAAUUUAAUUAAGAUAUAGUAAGUUAAAGUGAGACAGCAGAUGGCAGUAAUGCAACACUAUGGAUGCCAACUGCCGUAAAACUCCUAUGAAGAAGAAGACAAACAUCACUAUUGUGAUGUACAUUUGUGUUAGGGACUGUUGACUGUGGAAUUGUUACACUGGAGAAAUGGAUGUGUCAAGUCUUUCCAAGGGGACAAAGAAAUCGAAGUUAAGAAUCGAAAAGGAGUCAUCAAAACAGUACCAGAAGCAGAAUGUAUCUGUUAAAUUGAAAUGUCUGUCAAAUGCCAACACCAAACUGAAAAUAAAUCAAAAUGAACAAGGAAA